GUGAGGAAUAUUGGUCAAUGGGCGAAAGCCUGAACCAGCCAUGUCGCGUGAAGGAUGAAGGUCCUAUGGAUUGUAAACUUCUUUUGCAGGAGGGUAAAGUGAGCUACGUGUAGUUCAUUGCAAGUACCCUGCGAAUAAGCAUCGGCUAACUCCGUGCCAGCAGCCGCGGUAAUACGGAGGAUGCGAGCGUUAUCCGGAUUUAUUGGGUUUAAAGGGUGCGUAGGCGGACUAAUUAGUCAGCGGUGAAAUUUUGCGGCUCAACCGUAAAACUGCCGUUGAAACUGUUAGUCUUGAGUGCGGUAGAGGUAGGCGGAAUGUGUGGUGUAGCGGUGAAAUGCUUAGAUAUCACACAGAACACCGAUUGCGUAGGCAGCUUACUGGAGCGCAACUGACGCUGAGGCACGAAAGCGUGGGGAUCGAACAGGAUUAGAUACCCCGGUAGUCC
rnacentral:rRNA from 1 species